GGCCGCCGCGGCGCGCGCCCGGUGGCCGUUGGCGCUCGCGCCGCGUCUUUCUUCUCGGGCCAGAGACAAAUGGUUUCCUUUCAAGAGAAAUGACUGUUUUGAAGAAAAACUCUGUUGGUCUUAGCUCUUUUGUAAUUAAAUCUGGAUGUACCUCAAAAGACUCUUUAAGACUGUGGUGUUAAAAGGCUUUCCUCUGGAGAAGGAGAAAAAAUAAAAUCAACUGGAACUUAAAAGCUUGAAAUUCCAUGACAAAACACAGAUGUCCAGGAUUGGAGGUUCAUAAAGUACAUGCAGUAGUUGGAGUGGAUUCCAUUUUCAGUGUAGCUGCCACCAUGGACUCCAGGCUCCCAGAUUUUCAAGAACUGGACCUGUGACCCAGAAGAGCUUGUCAAGAUAUGACAGGAACUCUGGAGGUGGACGUUUUGUAUUCAAUUUUGGAACUGUUGAUCUUGCCGUGAGAAAAGAGAGACACGACUCACCAAGCACUGCCACCAGCACUGUCACUGGGAACUUGAAGAUCCAAGUUUCUGUCCAGAACCUCAGUGCAAACUGACAACACUCCAUCCAAAGUGAACUACGGUCCCGUGCCUCCUGAUUGCUGAAUGUUCACCUGGACCUGCCAAUGACCUUCCUUCUGCUACUCCAUCAGCCUACAGACCUGGUACUUGGAUUUUUGUCCAUGGUGAUUCCUUCCACCUUACUACUGAAGAAGACACCAUUCCAGUGGACCACUGUGACCCAAGAAGCAUUCAGCCAUCAUGAUGUGGCCUUUACCUCCACUCCUGUCCUACUCUGCCCAGAUUCAGCACAGCCCUUUAUAGUGCAGUCAAGAGUCUUCAAGCCAAAUAACUGAAGCUAUUUUAUCACAACAAAGGCCAGGUUUAUUCCAUAAAUGUACAGUUCAUUUCUGCAGUUUAUUCUUCAGAGACACAUAGUAAAUUUGGACCAGGGGAUUUUGUUUUGUUUAUAUUGUCAACACUGUCUGAAGAAAGGCAUCUCUGAGAACAGCAUUGGACCCUACUCCACAAUCUCAAAUGAUUGAAGUUUCAUAAACUGCCUAGGAUCCUGUCAAGGCCACUGGACUCUUGUUCUUUUCCUACUUCAAAAUCUGUAGCUGUCUACUAAAUGACAAAGCAGAUAUUCUGACCCAUUGGGAUCAAAACCAAGGCAUUUUGAAUUCCUCAUAGUAUCAUCUUCGGGUUACUCAGGAACCAAAACUUUUCACACCAAUUUAAGAAAUUCUACUGAGGAAUCCCUUUACCUAACCAUCUCACAAGGCUUCAACCAGAUUCCUGAAAAGGCCUCUUGAUAUAUCAAGAUAGAACCUACAUGCAUUUUGUGAACAACUUAUCACUGAUUUUCCAAAGGCUUUGUGCUCUUGAAGUUCUUUGAAGGAAAGCUGUGUGGAAGUCCAGAGUAAAGUGAAGCUGCUCUGGAUGAAGUAGUGAAGUGGGAGUUGAGGUCUACAACCUGCCACAACCAUCUUCCUUUACCACCAUGGUGAUGCCAAAAGGGACUUCCUUAAAGCUCUUCAGAAAAUCCUGCUUGAAACCACUACCCUAGACAACAUGUUUGACCUGGAUGGCAUUCUCUUCAAAACAAUUCAUAUUCAGUUGAUGCUCAACAUGUUUGGAGAUGCUUUAUUCAGAGAAUGAUGAUAAUUACAGCAUUGUCUAAUGAAGUUUUAUUAAUAGCAUUCCAUCCAAGGUGGACUUCCUGGAGUUGGAUAUAACCAGAGAGCAAUUCAUAUGUAUCCUACACUGAAGAACACCAUUAACUUUCAGCAACCUAUAGCUAGUGGUACUAGAAGUACGUGUCUUGGAAGUCUAUGAGAGCUGGUAUUGAAGCUGAUGCCUCCUUAAGGCCAUCUUAGACCAAGUUGUUUGUUUGACCUCUCCUCAUUAACUAUGGAGCAGAAUUGAAAUACAAAUUUUUCCUAAAGGGACUUGCAACCUGGUUAUCAUUCAUUAUCUCAAGUUUCAAGUCAUGUUGAUGCAACCAGUAGUUAUUAAACUGCUCCAUGGUUUUUUGUUAUUUAAUACUUUUUCCAGGGCUUAAAAAAACAAAAUUAAAUUUCUCCAACACGUCUAUACUUGUCUGUUCAAAAGUAACUACUCACCACUAUAUGGAACAGAUGAUUCUGAAGACACUCUGAGCAUCCUUUAUGAUAUUUGUGACUUAAAAUGUGGCUGGAAAUUUUCCUUCUACCCAGUGAAAUAUUUAAUGAUUAGUCUUCAUGCCUGAUACCAUCAACUGUAUAUGCGUGAUAGGCAAAGUUUGACAUAGGCAUUUGACUCUAGGCUAUGAUAGCUUGCUAGUAACUUCAAGUAGCAUAUUGUCAACCUGUUUGCUGGAAAAGUAGAGUAACUUGGAAAAAAAACUAAAUGGCAGCUAAGGAUUUUUUUCAGUAUUCCUGAGUUUCUGUCCUUGGGAUAUUUCAAUGAAAUUUUCACCUGUCUCUUCACUUAACAGAGUGACUGACUCCUUACUAUGAAGUAUUCUUAAGACAUUAAGAUUACUUUUGUAGAAAGGAUAAAAUUCCUGACCAUCCAAAUCAUCAUAGUGAACAAGACUUCAAUUUGUGACCUGAGAAAAUCUCAUUUCUCUACUUCGUAGUCAAUGUAAGGGCCAAUGCUAUCAGCUACUCUGAGUGCACUGGGUAAACGUUGGAACUGCCUUCUUUAUAUCAUUACUUUUUAUCCUCUAAAUUAAUCAUGGUUAUGUAAUUCUCGCCACAAAUCAGCAAAUCAGACUCAGAUCUGGUUAUUCUAGACUGCUCACAGUUAACAAAUCAAACUCUGGAUGACUUCUGCUUGUAUAUGCAACUACUAUUUGUAAAGAAAUUGCAAAUUCACUUUUCUAUUACCUCUACAUUGCUAGCUCUUUCUUUUGUGUUUGUAUUAAAAACAAAAAUAAGCUACACUGCCAGCUAUUCCCUCCUGCCAUACUCAGUUAAAAUGAAGAAUCGGGAAUCUAACCAGUGAAUGGAUAAGUAGAAAAAACUAAAACUUAAGGCAAAAGCCUUAAUCUAGGGCCUUUUCUACUAUCUUCAUGUCUUGGAUUUCAUCUAAAAUCAACAGUGCCACCCAACCAGUCUGAGGUCUUGACUUGCUUUUAAGAUGAUUCUUAGAGAUGGGCUGUAUUACAGAAGGUGAAGACUUGAUUACCAAAGAAAGUAGAGCCAACUUUGACAAACCUGGCUCUACAAUCCUAUUGCUUCCAGAUGUAGCAUAGACUCAUAACUAGAACCUCAAGUCUGCAUUGAGGAUAUAGCCUUCUAAGCUGACAGUUCUUGCAACAGGUGAGCAAGAAAAUGAAAGCUGUUAUACCCAACUGGCCCUUUAAGAUCCAAAAAUAAUGUCUGGACUAAACCCUAUGGAGUACCCAGGACAAAAACUAAUUUACAGAGCUUCAUUAUUAAUCUGCCUGUUCUUCUAGCUUAAUUAUUGGUAUGGCUGGCCCUACUGAAGUAGUUUGUCUGUUUACCUGUCUUCAGCUCUUAACCUGGCUAUUUUGACAUGCUACUGCAAUUAGACUAACUGGCUUUGAGAAGACUACAAUCAGUUUCAGCCUCUCCUUUGCCCAAUUUCACCAAGGAAUUUUGAUAAGAGGAACCCAUACCUCACCCCACCAGAACAGAAAGGACCAUGCUGCAUAUUCCUUGACCAGCAACUUUAAGUAGAGAACAACCCUGCUUGUUUUCAACAUCUGAAACACCAUUUGAUCUAAUAGGAGUAUAGAAGGUUGACAGCAGAGUACACUACUUACUUCUUUCAUAACUCAGAAAUGAAUAUGACUGGCCCAGAAGUUGUAAGUUCACCUUGACAAGAAACAGCAACACCAGAAGUUUACUGCUGAACUUAACUUGCCACUUACUCGAAUAGUCUCACAGACCUGCUUGCCAAGUAGGAGGCUAGUUUUCCUGCUUCAUAUCACCAUUGGAGUGGGGCUCAAUGGGGUCAAUGUUAAUACUGACUUGAAUGGGGACCUUAUGGUGAAUCCUAGACUAUGAGGCUAAUGGAAAUUAUUGUCUAUUCAAGUGGAUUAUAGAUUUCCUGAGGACAGAACAGACAUCACUCCUGGUGAUUUUUAGAACUUGAUUACCAAGGAAGAAAUACCAGCUGCUAACAGUCAACUUCAUGGGCAAAGAUUAAGCUCUCUAUAUCUGGUCGUAUCCUGGAUGCUAGUUUUUUAUUGCCCAGUGACCAUUUCCAUCUCACGCUUAACUUCCUGAUGUUUUUUGGAACCAUCUCUUCCAAUUUUCAGUCCUGGUGAUUUAGACAGUCUUUUCAUGCUGGACAUUUUGUUGCAACCUCAUCAAUCACAGCAAAGUCCAUCUUGACUUUAGUGAUUAGUUCAGGAAUGGAUGCAUGAUUCAAGUUUGUCCAAUGAUAAUCAACCCUAGGUGUUUUCUCAGUUGUGGAGAAGUUCUCUUAGAUGCUUUAGCUUUGUAGGAGAAAACUCAAACCAACAGGGCCUACCUACUAUGUUGAAUGAUUGUAGGAGAAAACUCAAACCAACCAGGCCUACCUACUAUGUUGAAUGAGCCAGGCAGAAAAUGAAGCCAGUACAGAGGGAAAUGGAGCCAAAAGAGGAAGAGACUUGAGUUCUGAUGAUCACAUUUAUGCCCCUGUAUCCAACUGUGCCUGAAGCUAAUAGUACAUCACCUGGACUUUUCAGUUAUGUGAACCAAUAAAUUCCCCUUUUUGUUUAAGUU
rnacentral:misc_RNA from 1 species